UUGGUACUGAGACACGGACCAAACUCCCACGGGAGGCAGCAGUGAGGAAUAUUGGUCAAUGGACGAGAGUCUGAACCAGCCAAGUCGCGUGAAGGAAGACGGAUCUAUGGUUUGUAAACUUCUUUAGUGCGGGAACAAAGUGGCGUCGUGACGCCUGAUGAGUGUACCGCAAGAAUAAGCAUCGGCUAACUCCGUGCCAGCAGCCGCGGUAAUACGGAGGAUGCGAGCGUUAUCCGGAUUUAUUGGGUUUAAAGGGAGCGCAGGCUGCGAGGCAAGUCAGCGGUCAAAUGUCGGGGCUCAACCCCGGCCUGCCGUUGAAACUGUCCUGCUAGAGUUCGAGUGAGGUAUGCGGAAUGCGUUGUGUAGCGGUGAAAUGCAUAGAUAUGACGCAGAACUCCGAUUGCGAAGGCAGCAUACCAACUCGCGACUGACGCUGAGGCUCGAAAGCGUGGGUAUCGAACAGGAUUAGAUACCCUGGUAGUCCACGCA
rnacentral:rRNA from 1 species